AUUUGCUGAAUCAAAGCCUGUGUGAACCAAGAGCAAAACUAUGGGCUGAUCUGCCCACUACAAGCGUCUCUGAAUCCCUGCAGGCAGGUAUUUUGUGGUGUAGAGCUGCAGAUAUCCUGCAA